AGAGUUUGAUCAUGGCUCAGGACGAACGCUGGCGGCGUGCUUAACACAUGCAAGUCGAGCGGAAAGGCCUCUUCGGGGGUACUCGAGCGGCGAACGGGUGAGUAACACGUGAGUAAUCUGCCCUCCACUUCGGGAUAGCCACCGGAAACGGUGAUUAAUACCGGAUAUGACCGCGUGCCACAUGGUGUGUGGUGGAAAGUUUUUCGGUGGGGGAUGUGCUCGCGGCCUAUCAGCUUGAUGGUGAGGUAAUGGCUCACCAUGGCUUCGACGGGUAGCCGGCCUGAGAGGGUGACCGGUCACACUGGGACUGAGACACGGCCCAGACUCCUACGGGAGGCAGCAGUGGGGAAUAUUGGACAAUGGGCGGAAGCCUGAUCCAGCAACGCCGCGUGAGGGAUGACGGCCUUCGGGUUGUAAACCUCUUUCGCCUACGACGAAGCGAGAGUGACGGUAGUAGGUAAAGAAGCACCGGCCAACUACGUGCCAGCAGCCGCGGUAAUACGUAGGGUGCGAGCGUUGUCCGGAAUUAUUGGGCGUAAAGGGCUCGUAGGCGGUUUGUCGCGUCGGGAGUGAAAUCCAGGUGCUUAACACCUGGCUUGCUUUCGAUACGGGCAGACUAGAGGCAUGCAGGGGAGAACGGAAUUCCUGGUGUAGCGGUGAAAUGCGCAGAUAUCAGGAGGAACACCGGUGGCGAAGGCGGUUCUCUGGGCAUGUCCUGACGCUGAGGAGCGAAAGUGUGGGGAGCGAACAGGAUUAGAUACCCUGGUAGUCCACACCGUAAACGUUGGGCGCUAGGUGUGGGAUCCAUUCCACGGGUUCCGUGCCGCAGCUAACGCAUUAAGCGCCCCGCCUGGGGAGUACGGCCGCAAGGCUAAAACUCAAAUGAAUUGACGG
rnacentral:rRNA from 1 species